GUUUCUUUUGAUGUGCUGAGAGAUCUGACAACAAUUUCCUUUUGGUAAUAACCAGCAGGACCUGAGUAACGGCUGCAUCCCUGAGGUUGAGCAGACAUACUCACCACAUACUUGGCCAGCUUCAUACCAAAGGUUCUUCAGCCUGGUUCCCAAAAGCAUUCAAGUUUGCUUCCUGAAUUCAAAAGUUCCCAGAAGCUUGUCAAGUGGACCUUCGGACCAACACUUGUAAGGCUGAUGUCCAUCUUGACCAGCACCCAGUGCAGCAGUUUGAAGUGUCGUUGACCAAGGCACCCUGCCAUCAGAAAGGGCUGCAUUCGCCCACCAGACUAUAGACGAACUGAUGCUUCUGUCAGAACAGAGAGAUGGCGAACCCUUCAUCAAGUCAUCAUCUACCAAACACCCACCACUUGGUGCCUCAGAUUUUCUUCACAGCCACUUCCUUCUUUCUCUUUAACGUCCACAUCUUUUCCUCUUUGUUGUGUUUAAAUGCAGAUGAUACAGAAUGAAAUUCCUUUGGCGUCUGUGUGCGGGAGUGCACAAAGGUAUUUAUGAAUCCUAAAUGAAGCUGGCUGCAGAGCCAAGGAGUUCCAGCAGAGCGCCGGCGUGCGUGCCCGCCGGAGUCUGAUCUUUUACACGGGAAGCUGCAUUUGAUAUCUCAUUUGUUGGCUGUGUUCCUCACAAAGCCGAGUGUUGUUUAACCCACUUUGCCAUAACAGAAGAAAACUCAGAAGACGAUGGCUGGGUAAGCGGAAGAUGAUCCUACAGACAGGGCCUGAAAUGGUCAGCGAAGGCUUCCAGGGCACGUGGGACAUACUGCCACCUUCUGGCUGGGUGUGGCCCACACUGCGGAGCUCGUGGGUGACCCGGAGAGGACUUCCCUGCCUCCAAAUCACCCAGGGGUUCCAGAAUUGCAGCUUUUCUGAAACCCCAAGAGGAAAUCAUCUUGGAGUAUUGCAGACACCACACUGAAAAUAGUGAAAAACAUUCAAUUUAGAAGCAAUUUUACCUUGAUUUUUUCUUUUUUUCUUUUCUUUUCUUUUCUUUUUUUUUUUCUUCUCUGUGAGUCAGCCCACAGGUUCUGCUCCUUCCUCUACCUGAAGCUGGUCCCUGGUUUUCCUUCUCCUCCUGGUGUCACAGGGGCAAGGACAAUGUGGUGCCCCCACCAGCAUGGUCAGGACAACUGAUUUUUCCUUCUGGUGGAACAUCUCAUCCCCAGAACUGAUGAGGGGUGGCUAGGGAAGCAGAGAACAGAGACUACAUCAGAUGCAGCAGCAGCAUUAUCACUACAAUACAGAUUAUUCUCCAGGAGAUAACUGCAGCUCUUUAAAACAGUGGCAAUGUGAAUGCUGGGUCCUAUUACCUCAUCCUCUGGCUAAUAAUAAGAUUUCGUAACCAUGUCAACAACAAGAGAAAGGGAGCAAAAAAGUAUCCCUUUGAUUACAUAAAAGGUCCAGAUACCUAGACCAGCUUUGUAAAUCACUCAGCUCAUGAGCAUAUGCUCGUGAGAAAGGUAGAAGAUGACAGAAGGGGCCUUGCAUCUCCAGCAAAGCCAAGGAAGGACCCGCCAACAGGGUAGGCAGAAAGUAACCACCUACAAAUGUGCCUGAACAGGAAAUAC
ensembl:lincRNA